rnacentral:rRNA from 1 species
UACGGGGGGGGCAAGCGUUGUUCGGAAUUACUGGGCGUAAAGGGCUCGUAGGUGGCCAACUAAGUCGGACGUGAAAUCCCUCGGCUUAACCGGGGAACUGCGUCCGAUACUGGAUGGCUUGAGUUUGGGAGAGGGAUGCGGAAUUCCAGGUGUAGCGGUGAAAUGCGUAGAUAUCUGGAGGAACACCGGUGGCGAAGGCGGCAUCCUGGACCAACACUGACACUGAGGAGCGAAAGCUAGGGGAGCAAACAGG